ACCCAGCUGGCUCAGUUGGUAGAGCAUGCGACUCUAGAUCUCAGGGUCAUGAGUUCAAGCCCCAUGUUUGGAG
rnacentral:tRNA from 1 species